rnacentral:rRNA from 1 species
UCGCACGAGAAAGUGGAGCAAUCCAUGAGUACAGUGGCGUACGGGUGAGUAACACGUGGGUAAUCUACCUCUUAGUGGGGGAUAUCACCCUGGGAAACCGGGGCUGAUAUCCCGCCAAAAGCCUGAGGAGGGAAAGCAGCAAUGCGCUGAGAGAGGAGCCCGCGGCCGAUUAGCUAGUUGGCAGGGUAAAAGCCUACCGAGGCAAAGAUCGGUAGCCGGCCUGAGAGGGCACACGGCCACACUGGCACUGAAACACGGGCCAGACUCCUACGGGAGGCAGCAGUGGGGAAUCUUGCACAAUGGGGGAAACCCUGAUGCAGCGACGCCGCGUGAGCGAUGAAGCCCUUCGGGGUGUAAAGCUCUUUCGUCAGGGAAGAUGAUGACGGUACCUGGAGAAGCAGCUGCGGCUAGCUCAGUGCCAGCAGCCGCGGUGAUAUCCGUAGGCAGCAAGCGUUGUUCGGAGUUACUGGGCGUAGAGGGUGUGUAGGCGGUUCUUUAAGUUUGGUGUGAAAUCUCCCGGCUCAACCGGGAGGGUGCGCCCAUUACUGAGGGACUCGAGUGCGGGAGAGAAGUGGAAUUCCUGGUGUAGCGGUGAAAUGCGUAGAUAUCAGGAGGAACACCGGUGGUGUAGACGGCUUUCUGGACCGUAACUGACGCUGAGACACCAUAGCGUGGGUAGCAAACAGGAUUAGAUACCCUGGUAGUCCACGCCCUAAACGAUG